GAAAAGGGUGGACGGUCACGAACUCGGGACGAAGCCACCAACCAGCUCGCUGCCUCCCCGCUGCCAUGGCGACCUCGACCUCCCUCCUCCCCCAUCUCCUCCCCGCCCCUGCCUCCCGCCACCGUUUCCACCCCUCCCCUUCCGCAUCCCCCCGCCACCUGCGCCUCUCUCCUGCUACUCGCCUUCUCCGCGCCGCUCGGCGCCGGCACCCCGACGCCGUCGUCGUCGUCCCGGACGCCCGCCCCUGGGUCGGCGAUCUCUCGGGCGCCACCGCUUCCUACCGGGAAGGCGGCGAGGAGGACGAGGACGACGCGGACGAGCACGACGACGAGGACGAGGACCGCAGCCUGGACCUACUGGCCCGGUUCCUGCACUCCGUGUUCAGGAAGGCCUCCCGCCGGGCGGGCCGCGCCGCCAGGUCCGUGCUGCCGCCUUCCGUCCCCGCUGAGCUGGUGAAGUUCUCGGUCAAUGGCGUGCUUGUCCUGACGUUCUUAUGGAUCCUGAAGGGUCUUCUCGAGGUGGUCUGCACAUUUGGAAGCAUGGUGUUUGCAAGCAUCCUUCUUGUUCGAGGAAUAUGGUCUGGGGUGACUUAUAUCAGAGAAAAUCGGUACAACUAUAUUCACCGGAUCGACAACGAUGAUAGCCGAUGGAGCAGAGUACAGACUGCUGGUUGAUAUUUUGCUUUCCUUCUCUGUGGACACACAGACAGACACACACAGACUGCAUUGGCAGGCUCUAGAAUAAAAAGAAAUAUAAGAGUUACUUACUAAUGAGAUAGUAGAAUGCUCCCAGUUCAUUGCCAACUAGGAUGAUUGCUAUUGCUAUACCCCUCAGCUGGACCGGAAUGAAACAAAUCCACACGUACCUGAACAGAAUAAGUGGUUCCUCUCGACCUGGGCGCAUUGAGGAUCGAUGCUUGAGUUGGUGGGAGCUCAUACGCGCAGAAAAAAAAAGAAAUGAAAUUGUGCUGAAGAAUGUUUGCAGUUCUGAUCGCGAUGCAUUUGGAGGUGCCAGGCUAGGCUUGUAUGCAUGUAUGAGUAUAUGAGUAUGAGUAUGACACGUAAGCAGCCGAGGUAGUUGCAGAUAUUGAAGAACGAAUGCUUGUUUUGUGUGCAGAA